CAAUGACAUCCUUUACCUGGCACUUUGCUAAUUUGCCCUCUGGCAAGUGGGUCCUGCAAAAAAAUACCAAAAUACCCUUGCCAAUCGAUUGACCAGGAAUCGCUCGAGAGCUUCGGUCGUCGUUCUCGUUCUUAUCCCCUUCUCCCGCACAGGAGACGGCGGCGGCUACAUCCCGGCCAGGAGGAUGUUGGCUAUGGCAUUGGCUGAUGAGGCAUCGCAGCAACCUACCCCAACCUCAACCUCGAAAGCUAGGAAGUUGACCCCGAAGAGAAGGAAGAUCUAGUGUUGUGCAUCAUCUUCUAUGUUCUCUAUGCUUUCGGUUGUAAUAUGUCAGACUUGGCAGCCCCUACUAAUUUGUGCAACAUCAUAGCCUUAUGUUAGAUGAUGUAUGAAAAUGUGAAAUAUCAGUUUUAUGCUAUAUUGUGUUCAAUUUGUGUGAUGGUACAUGAAUAUGUUCAUCUCAAAAGAUAUGUUAUAUUUUGGAUCA